rnacentral:rRNA from 1 species
GACGAACGCUGGCGGCGUGCCUAAUACAUGCAAGUUGAGCGAUGAAGAUUGGUGCUUGCCCCAAUUUGAAGAGCAGCGAACGGGUGAGUAACGCGUGGGGAAUCUGCCUUUGAGCGGGGGACAACAUUUGGAAACGAAUGCUAAUACCGCAUAAUAACUUUAAACAUAAAUUUUAAGUUUGAAAGAUGCAAUUGCAUCACUCAAAGAUGAUCCCGCGUUGUAUUAGCUAGUUGGUGAGGUAAAGGCUCACCAAGGCGAUGAUACAUAGCCGACCUGAGAGGGUGAUCGGCCACAUUGGGACUGAGACACGGCCCAAACUCCUACGGGAGGCAGCAGUAGGGAAUCUUCGGCAAUGGACGAAAGUCUGACCGAGCAACGCCGCGUGAGUGAAGAAGGUUUUCGGAUCGUAAAACUCUGUUGGUAGAGAAGAACGUUGGUGAGAGUGGAAAGCUCAUCAAGUGACGGUAACUACCCAGAAAGGGACGGCUAACUACGUG